rnacentral:lncRNA from 1 species
GGCCGGUUACGUAGUAGUCUGGUGGUUAAGUAAUACUAGUCUGUGGUUAAUAGACCAGUUUCACAUAAGCUACUAAUCAACGCUGAUCUCGAAAUCUUCUGCGCGUUUGAGUUUAAAUCUCGCGAUAAUUAACGAUAUCAUACGUGACAGGGGGCUACUGAUAUUUAGCAACACAAUAAUAAAUCAACCGCUUAUAAUUACUGCGUUAUGUACAUUGCUGUAUGUCAGUUUGAUUUUUCGUGAAAAGAGAAAAAUAUUUUGAUAAAGAGAAAACAGCCUAAACAUCAGAAAUUCAUUUAAUUUCAGUUCUGUUCCAGUUUUUCUUAAAUAUUUUUUAUUUUUUACAUCUUCUUCACAUGCAUGUAAAGGGUUUUUACGGUCUACAUAUAGGUUUAGUAUCAUAGACUCGAACUUUUAAUUUUCUUUUAAAAAAAUACAGGUUACUGUUAUGGUGACUUUUGCAUGAAAUUUUAUGGGUACAAGGACAUGAUACCGGCACUACUAAAUAAUCGAAAUUUCAAAUAAUGGUAGUACAAUGUAGGGGAGUAUAAUAUAUAAUGUUCAACGAAAAUUGAUAGAAUUUUUCCUUACAUACUCUUGUCAAAGAUGUAGUACAUAAUUAUUGUGAUAUGCUAACAAUAUGAAAAACACAAUGAUAGGUCACCGAGUGUUUUCAAGCUAUACGCUGUGAAAAUAUGAAGCAUUUUGUAUGGAUUAAACAGAGGCAUUUUUAAGGUAAAAGUAUCAUUAUAUGAAUAUUUGAAGGUAAAACAAAUGAUAGAAUUCCAAAGUAAAAUGUGAGAAAAUAGCUCUUUAUAAACGUUCAGAAAACAACAGAAAAAAUGGAGUCACCAUGCGUUUUAUCCUGUUUAGCGUACAUGGCAUAUAACAUUAAUAGAACACUUUCCUAUUGAUUGUAAUAGACACGUAGUAGACAGGGCCCUGGUACCGUGUUGAAGACCGUACAUUGACCUAUAGUUGUUAAACUUUUGAUACAUUGUGACAUGGACUGAUCGACAGUUGAAUCAUUGGCACUCAUACCACAUCUGCUUAUUUGUAUGUACAUUUGUUUCAAAUAUUUCUGUGUCAAUGAUGUUUUAGACGGCCAUGAUAUAAAUGAAGUGAGAUAUAAGGCAGUUUUAAAAUACGUAUCAGAAAUACAGGUUCAUCUUCAAUUUUCAAAGAUCGGACUAUAAUACAAUGCAUUCAAUAUCAUUUUAAUUUCUAAGCUAUGUUCAUGAUCGAUUUCGUCUAAGCAGAGGUUCAGUGCCAGCGGGGCGAGUAAUUUUCUACAUAUUGUCAACUUUAUCAUUUUUCGUGCCAUUAAAAGUAAUUGAAUAUCCUGUAUUUACAACAAGCGAUGUAUGCCUUAAAUUAAGAUCAAAUGCUGAAUGACCCCCUCCUAAAUUAUUAAAAUAUUCCCAGUGGCAUUAACCACACUGGCCAUGAUAUCUCAGUGUUAAUAAGGUACCAGGGUUAACAUUUUAAACAUCUGUACUAGGGGAUGACCAUUUGAUUUUCAGGAGGGGGGGGGGGUAGAAAAAUAAUAUUCUUAGACUAAUUUCCUAAUAAAUAAUUAUGACCUAGGCAGGAUGGAAAAGAAUGAUCUGCAACACAAACUACAGGAAAUAAUUGUGUACAAAAGUUAAAUGAAUUAUCAAACGGUCGCCCUUUUUCAGUAACUGUAUAUACAGAAAAGGGUACGUUUUAUCAAUUUUCACCUGGUGAGAUUAUACAAGGUGAAACGAGGAUUCCACAUGGCCAAGGUGUUAAUUGCCUUCUUAAUUUAUGACCUUAUACUAUGUAUAUGAAGUGAGCCCCGCUUAUUUAUCUAAUUUAUUCUUCCCGUUAGGUGAACGAUCUCAGCGUGAAUUCGUGACAUUUAAAGGUACAAUUAAUAUAAAGCCAGGCGGCAUAUCAGAUCGUAUAUAAUACUGCAAUCAACAACACAGCAGUAGUCCGUUUUAAAAUCUUUUAUUGUGUCAAUUGUUAAUAAUUAAAGUUGUCUGGUCAAUAUAAAUUUUAUAUUUUGAUUCAAAUGAUGCUCAUGUUGUUAGAAAUGACCCAAAUGUAAACGCAAACACUCAAUCAGAUGCUUGUUUUUCCAAGUCUUAAUGGUCACUGCUUACAACCGUUAGCCCCCAGUUGAUAAACUCUCGAGAAUUAUCGCGUGAUUUCAUAGUUUUGCUAAUUAGAUUAGACAUGCGCAGUUAAAUGUGAAACUGGUGUGUCAAACUAUGCAAUUAACCCCUGACGGAUACAUGUUAUUUCACAGCAGACAUGGUCAUUUAUUGGCUUCAGGGUAUUGUUACACAAUUGUGUAACAUAAUGCCUUCAAUCCUAAUAGAACGAAAGUUCAAUAAAAUACGGUAUUUUUCUUCCUGUAGGUUAUUUUAAUAGUUUAUUGUAAGGUUUCCGGUAACCAUCACCAC